CUUUGAAACACACCAUCCAAUGUAGUGAAGCCAAUAUACCUAUGUCAAGUUUAAGGUGGCCUUCGAACCAAUAUAUCAAUAUUCCUCCAAUUUUUAUAUCACGUGAUCUUUACAAUUUUUACCUUAUUCUUAGUUUAUCGGGUCACACACGGCUACCUAUUUUCCUAAAUAAUUUUUAGUAUAUUUUGUUUUGAUAAUUAUUUUCUUAUUAAGGUAAAAAACCCAACGUGUGUUCAGUUGGAGCAAAAAUUAUUCCAAAAAAAUGUUUUUCAUAUUUUCCGCUGACUUAUCCCCUGUUGUCAUUUUACGCUUCCUUUUCUUCACGUCUUUCUCCCCUCUUCACUCCUCUCUCCUUGGACUCUUGUCCCUCACCGGUAAUAUCAACGGUGACCUACGAUGCAAUAUCAGUGACACUGACGGACCCAUCUCCAGAUUCUUCCUCUGAGAUCGUCGUCCUGGUUUUAGACCUCAAGCUCAUUGGCCAUCGUUUCAUAUUCUUAAUUCCCAUGAUCUUUUACUUGCUUUUAUGUUUUCCGUUUUUCUUAAACUACUUAAUAGCUAAAAUUCAUGGGUUUUGUUUGAAGGUUUAAUGCUAGUGAUGGAACGAUGAAAGUGAGAGCCAUCUUUUCAUCAAAUAUGUUAUCUGCUAUAAGUUCAGAUGUUUGAUUGUAACAAAAUGUGAGGUCGUCUCUCCUGCAAUCGAUAUGGAAAUCAAAGUUGAAGUGAAUACUUUGAAGAAGCCAAAGGUUGAAAAUGUGGUCAAAACAGAAGGGGCUGGUAAUUUCAAGUCAAAGCAAGAAAUGUGUUUAACAUUUUAAAUUUGUAGAAAAAUGGGUUCUAAUCAAUUUAAUGAUUAACAUAUGAUGUCAA